rnacentral:rRNA from 1 species
UUCGGGAUAMYACUUCGAGAGGGGUGWUUAUGCYUGAUAWSCCCACGSACUCUUAGGMGGUUUGCGAGAAAAAGGGCGCCUCAGUAUACMCUCCUGUCGCMAGAUGAGUCCGCGGCCCAUMAGYUAGUUGGUAGGGUUAMGGCCUACCAAGGCGWCMAUGGGUAGCUMGUCUGAGAGGAUMAUCAGCCACWCUGGAWSUGAGACACGGUCCAGWCUCCUACGGGAGGCKGCAGUGGGGAAUUUUGCGCAAUGGGCGAAARCCUGACGCAGCAACGCCGCGUGAGUGAUGAAGGCCUUCGGGUCGUAAAGCUCUGUCAGUGGGGAAGAACCGCCGGGUGGUUAAUACCUGCCUGGUCUGACGGUACCCACAAAGGAAGCACCGGCUAACUCCGUGCCAGCAGCCGCGGUAAUACGGAGGGUGCAAGCGUUGUUCGMAAUUAUUGGGCGUAAAGCGCGWGUAGGCGGUUUGUUAAGUCUGGUGUGAAAGCCCUGGGCUCAACCUGGGAAGUGCAUUGGAUACUGGCAAACUUGAGUACGGGAGAGGAUAGUGGAAUUUCGAGUGUAGGGGUGAAAUCCGUAGAUAUUCGAAGGAACACCGGUGGSGAAGGCGGCUGUCUGGACCGAUKCUGWCGCUGAGACGCGAAAGCGUGGGGAGCAAACAGGAUUAGAUACCCUGGUAGUCCACGCCGUAAACGAUGGGUACUAGGUGUUGCGGG